AGGGAGCGCCCUGACAUCACCUUUCCUAGCUUAGUCUUCUGAUUGACACGGCAGAGACGUUAUUUACUAGCAUCAGGCAAUGGAAUCCAGGUGAUGAGACUGUAGGUGUGUCACAAUUGACUGGCCUGUUGGAAUUCUAGGGGAGUUGGAAAUGGCCCCUGUUGAACAUUAGAAUCAUCUCGCAAAAAGCUCAUGAAAACUGCCAAUUCCAGGCAGGCCCCCAAGACCAGCUCAAUCAGAAACUCUGGUGGUGAUUUUAAAAUUUGUUUCAGGUAACAACUAAGCAACUCGUGCCCUCUUAACGCCUAACUUUCCAAAGUUGACUUGCUUUUUCUCCUACAUGAGCUUCCUUGAUGGAUUUAGGGUCAGAUGUGCCCUUUUUAGAGCUUCAGGCUUUUUUUCUUUCCUGGUUGCUUGAGGAGGCAUUUAAAGAUGGACUCAGCUUCAUCUAAGGCAAUGUGGAAAACUCUGUGAAGCCAAGACUGGAUACUUUCUGGUCCAGGAGAGGAAGAAAAAGAUCCACAUGACAUCAGGUUGGUCAUAAAAGGACAUGGGAGUCUCGAGGAGCUCUUCCCGGGUGGAUUUGGUGAAAAGAAAGAUCAGAGUUGUUGGGGUUUUUUCCCCCAGAAUUUUUAAAGCCCUACUGCUACAAAGCGCUGAUGGUAAUGCUGACAAUAACACUGAAGCCAUGAACCACAGGCUCUGAUUCAUUUUAUAAGCUGUUCCUGUUCACUAUUCAGCACUGAAGUCUCUAGAACACAAGCAUCCAGGUGAAGAAACCAAGGCGUGGAGAGGAGCCAAGUUGCAAAUUCAGAUUGUUCGAAUCCUAAAAUCCACCUCUGCUCCUUACAGCAAUUUAGCUAUGAUGCACCCUGUUGCUACUGAAAUGGAAUGAAUAAAAUUUGGACGCACAUGA